CAAUAGCGUAUAUUAAAGUUGUUGCAGUUAAAAAGCUCGUAGUUGGAUUUCUGGUUGAAGCGACCGGUCGGGCGUUGAUUCGUCUGCACUGGAGUCGGUUUUGGCCAUCCUCUAGGAAAGUGCGUCUGGUAUUAAGUUAUCGGGCGUAUGAUCCUGGUCUUUUACUGUGAAAAAAUUAGAGUGUUUAAAGCAGGCCCUCGCCUUGAAUACAUUAGCAUGGAAUAAUAAGAUAGGACUUUGGUCUAUUUUGUUGGUUUGCAGACCGAAGUAAUGAUUAAUAGGGAUAGUUGGGGGUAUUUAUAUUCCGAUGUCAGAGGUGAAAUUCUUAGAUUUUCGGAAGAUAAACUUAUGCGAAAGCAUUUACCAAGGAUGUUUNCAUUA
rnacentral:rRNA from 1 species